UACAGAGGGUGCGAGCGUUGUUCGGAAUUAUUGGGCGUAAAGCGCUUGUAGGCGGCCCGUCAAGUCGCGUGUGAAAUCCCCAGGCUUAACCUGGGAAGUGCGCGCGAAACUGACGAGCUUGAGUGCCGGAGAGGGUCGCGGAAUUCCCGGUGUAGAGGUGAAAUUCGUAGAUAUCGGGAGGAACACCAGUGGCGAAGGCGGCGACCUGGACGGACACUGACGCUGAGACGCGAAAGCGUGGGGAGCAAACAGG
rnacentral:rRNA from 1 species